CGGCGUAAAGAGUGGUUAAUGAAAAAAUUAAAAAUAGGGUCGAAAUGCCUCAAAACAGUUGAAUGUACUCGAGGUUAUGAAGAACAACUACGAAAGUGUCCCUACCAAACCAUGAACCCACGAAAACCACAAUACAAACUGGGAUUAGAUACCCCACUAUGUGUGGUCCUCAACAUCGAUAAUUAUUGUACUUAAAUUAUCCGCCUGGGAACUACGAGCAUUAGCUUAAAACCCAAAGGACUUGGCGGUGCUUUAGACCCCCCUAGAGGAGCCUGUUCUAGAACUGAUAACCCCCGUUAAACCUCACCAUCUUUUGUUUAACUCAGCCUAUAUACCGCCGUCGUCAGCUUACCCUAUGAAGGCACAUCACAGUAAGCGCAAGUGGCACAGCCAAAAACGUCAGGUCGAGGUGUAGCCAAUGAGAUGGGAAGACAUGGGCUACAUUCUCUGCCCCAGAGAACUUAUACGGAUGGUAUAUUGAAAUUAAUACCUGAAGGAGGAUUUAGCAGUAAGUAGGGAAUAGAGUGCCCUGCUGAAAAUGGCCCUGAAGCGCGCACACACCGCCCGUCACUCUCUCCAAAGAACACC
rnacentral:rRNA from 1 species